rnacentral:misc_RNA from 1 species
AAAAUGCGAUAAGUAAUGUGAAUUGCUGAAUUCAGUGAAUCAUCGAAUCUUUGAACGCACAUUGCGCCCGCCAGUAUUCUGGCGGGCAUGCCUGUUCGAGCGUCAUUUCAACCCUCAAGCUCAGCUUGGUGUUGGGACUCGCGGUAACCCGCGUUCCCCAAAUCGAUUGGCGGUCACGUCGAGCUUCCAUAGCGUAGUAAUCAUACACCUCGUUACUGGUAAUCGUCGCGGCCACGCCGUAAAACCCCAACUUCUGAAUGUUGACCUCGGAUCAGGUAGGAAUACCCGCUGAACUUAAGC